rnacentral:rRNA from 1 species
GUGGGGAAUUUUGGACAAUGGGCGCAAGCCUGAUCCAGCAAUGUCGCGUGCAGGAAGAAGGCCUUCGGGUUGUAAACUGCUUUUGUACGGAACGAAACGGUCCGGGUUAAUACCCUGGGCUAAUGACGGUACCGUAAGAAUAAGCACCGGCUAACUACGUGCCAGCAGCCGCGGUAAUACGUAGGGUGCAAGCGUUAAUCGGAAUUACUGGGCGUAAAGCGUGCGCAGGCGGUUUUGUAAGACAGGCGUGAAAUCCCCGGGCUCAACCUGGGAACUGCGCUUGUGACUGCACGGCUAGAGUAUGGCAGAGGGGGGUGGAAUUCCACGUGUAGCAGUGAAAUGCGUAGAGAUGUGGAGGAACACCGAUGGCGAAGGCAGCCCCCUGGGCCAAUACUGACGCUCAUGCACGAAAGCGUGGGGAGCAAACAGGAUUAGAUACCCUGGUAGUCC